rnacentral:rRNA from 1 species
GACGUAGGGCGCGAGCGUUGUCCGGAUUUAUUGGGCGUAAAGAGCUCGUAGGCGGCUUGUCGCGUCGUCUGUGAAAUCCCGCGGCUCAACCGCGGGUCUGCAGUCGAUACGGGCAGGCUAGAGUUCGGUAGGGGAGACUGGAACUCCUGGUGUAGCGGUGAAAUGCGCAGAUAUCAGGAGGAACACCGGUGGCGAAGGCGGGUCUCUGGGCCGAUACUGACGCUGAGGAGCGAAAGCGUGGGGAGCGAACAGG